rnacentral:rRNA from 1 species
GACGAACGCUGGCGGCGUGCCUAAUACAUGCAAGUCGAGCGGACAGAAGGGAGCUUGCUCCCGGAAGUUAGCGGCGGACGGGUGAGUAACACGUGGGCAACCUACCCUGUAGAUCGGGAUAACAUCGAGAAAUCGGUGCUACUACCGGAUAAUCAUUUGAAGUGCAUGCUUCGAAUGUAAAAGAUGGCUCCGGCUAUCACUACGGGAUGGCCCCGUGGCGCAUUAGCUAGUUGGUAAGGUAAUGGCUUACCAAGGCAACGAUGCGUAGCCGACCUGAGAGGGUGAUCGGCCACACUGGGACUGAGACACGGCCCAGACUCCUACGGGAGGCAGCAGUAGGGAAUCUCCCGCAAUGGACGAAAGUCUGACGGAGCAACGCCGCGUGAGUGAUGAAGGUUUUCGGAUCGUAAAGCUCUGUUGUUAGGGAAGAACAAGUGCCGUUUGAAUAAGGCGGCACCUUGACGGUACCUAACCAGAAAGCCACGGCUAACUACGUGCCAGCCGCCGCAGUAAGAC